GUUAAUCGUUAAUUCAUUAUGUACCCGAAACGGAAAUUCGAACGCCGACACCCCAUUAUCGGGUUUUUAAAAACGUUUUUUUUUUCCUGGUUUUUUUUUUUUAUUUUUUUACUCCGCGGACUCGUUUCCGAACCGCUCGAAUAUUAUCGUGCCGACGACGUAUAUAUUAUAUAUUAUAAUGUUUAUACUCUCCGGUAUAUAUUAUACUCGCAUACGUCCGUGACUAUUAAAAAAAAAAAAAAAAUCUUAAAUAGGAAUAAACAAGACGACAUCAGUGGGCCGGAGUGCAAGAGGAACGAAAAAAAAAAAGUAAUAGUGUGUACGCGCGAUAAAUAUUAGAAGGAAAUAAAGGCGAGCGAGGGUAAGGGGGUAGCGGAAGGAGGGAGGGAAACGUGUUUACAGACGUUAUAUUAUAUUAUAGUGUAGGCAAAGACAUUAGUAGAAAUUAUGGACAAUGAACAAAUCGUCGUCUACAGAGAAUAUUAUAAGGUGUCGUCUCGCGCUGUAUAGAGCGACACCUUCGCAUUAAUUUCCGUCUUGACCGCGCGCGCGCGCGCUCGCACUACGUCCGACGGCUGGUGUUCAGAUUAUUGUUUGUGUGUUUUUAUGGGUUUUUUUUUUUUUCAUUUGUUAUUUAUUUAAUUAUCACGUUAUUCGACGGCGGCGGCGCACUGUAUAUAAUAUAAUAUUAUGGUGUGUUUACACGUGAACAAAAAAAAAAAAAAAAAAAAAAAAACAACCGACCAAACAAGCGUUUAUACGAUUCGUUAAUCGUCACCGUAAUAAUAAUAUAAUAGCAGUUAUACUGACUGCAGCGCUCCGGUUACAAUAUUAUCCGUGUCUUCGGAAAGAAACGGCCGCGAUAUUGUUUAAGAAUUUUCCGACAGCGGAUUCGUAUAGUAUUUAUACUCGUCGUCGGGCCCGUUAUGCACAUUUAUAUACGCACACCCACUCGAAAUCGUGUCUGCCGAAUUUCCGAUUCUACCCCUCUGGAUUUCGAUAAAAAAAAAAAAAAAAAAAAAAAAAGAAGAAGAAACAAAGCCGCGAUGGAAAAAAAUAAAACAUCCCCUUUCAUAGCCGUUCCCGUCGCCGUGCCGGAUCAAUCGGCACACGCACCCGGAAACAGAAAACGUCCGAAUUCCCGUGUCGUGUCACGCGCGCACACCGCGGCGGGUCGCCAACUGCAAAGUUACCCGUCGAAACGAAAUAAACCUGCACCGUUGUUCCCUAUACUUUCGAACGCCGUUUUUUUUUUUUUGCCGUUCGUAUACUGUUCCGUCCAACCGAAAGCGAAUUGACCGCGGUCCGCGAAACCGACGUGACCACCCCCCCCCCCUUUCCCCACCCCGAACGUACGGCAAACACGAUAACAUCAUCACGUCGUGUUGAUAUUCACGAGAUCGACAACCAAUACACGGGAGUGUUUCGCUCGGUGAAAAUAUCGGUGAAUUUAGGCGGACGGUUUUUUCUUCCUCCCGGCUGGUGAAUAUUGCGCGGGCGCACGCCGGCCGCCAGAAUACCAUUGUUUUCCUCGACGGUCACCAGGAUUUCCCGCGAAAAAACACUUUCGCGGUCGCCGGAAACGUUAGUCGCACACCGAUUUCCGUUAGCGGUCUCUUACCCGCUGGUUUUUCCGCACUCUGCAACACGGAACACUCGUAGUUUUGAUGUCCCGAGCGUUAAAUCGGUAAAUCGGUCGUUUUUCCGGUUGUCCCCCGCGACGACGGACCGCGCAGUAUACGGCCAGUGCUGUUGCUCCGCUCAGAAUCGUUUGCCGUAAACGACGGACCGACAUCCAAUGAACGUCCCGUGUGCGUUCGUUUCCGACGUUCCGCUCUCCGUUCUGUAACAGUGAUAGGCGCGCCCGUCGCUGAAGUGUCGGGGCCCCGUCGCGCCUACCGCGUCGUUAUUUCCGAAACGUUCUGUAUAUGUAAAAAAAAAAAAACAAAAAAACAAAAUAGAUUACAAUAAUAACACAAUCGAUCGAGACCCGACGUCGCCGUCACAAAGUUCCGUGUUGUUUACUCGUACCUACGCGCCGCGAACAUAUCUAUGUAUAAAUAUUUAAUAAAAAAAAAAACUUAGGACCCGGACGGUAAACGAUUAAUAUUUAUACGACGUCGGGUGUGCGUACAGGCGCUGCGGUGUGGGUUACCUGUAUGCAUAUAUAUAUAUGUGUGUGUGUGUGUGUGUGUGUGUGUGUGUGUGUGUAAUUAUGUCCGCGAUUUCGAAAACAAGACUUUGCGAUCGGUUAUUUAUUGGUCGAGCGUUGUCAAUAAGAGAUAUUAAUUGAUGUCGGGGUUUAUUAUUUACACCGCGCGCGCGCAAACAACAAAUGCGUUGACAUUUGGAAAUCCAGUUGUUCGGGAAAAAAAAAAAUAAAAAAAAAAAAACAAAAACUACUUGUACCCCGCUAUACACACACGUAUUAUCGUACGGGAACCUAAUAUAUUAUACGAAACGAACGACGAUAAAAGAAUAAUUAACGUUAUUUUAUUCGUUCCCGCUCCAUCCCUCCGCCCGCCACCCCACCCCCUUCCCCGGCGGCCCGGCCCGACAUCAAAUUCUGUACAAUACAAUAUACCUAUAUCGUGUUUAUUUAAACGAGUUGUCGAUUUCUGCCGCCGCCGCCGCAUCUUGAUUUAUGCCUUGUAACGACGUUAUAAUUUCGCAUCGGCGCGGCGUUUCGCCUCGAUAUAUUUACGAGAAGAAGAAGAAAAAAAAAAAUAAAUAAUAAUAAAAAAAAAAAAAAAAAAAAAAAAAAAAAAAAAAAAAAAAAUGUCUUCGAGAAAAUCGCGCGAACCGCAUAAUAAUAAUAAUAACAAAUAAAUCGGCGAUCCGUCCGCGGCCGUGGCGUAUUGAACCUUUACGCGCGCUCUCCGACGACGGCGAAAAAAAUGCCAGAAAUCCGCCGUAUUACACGUUAUUACGCGUGCGUACGAGCGCGCGCGCGCGUGUGUAUAUACGAUCGGCGGUCGUCGGAAAUCACGCGGGUCGCGUAUAGUUCGGCGCGGCCCGUCUCGGGAAAUGGCGAAAUUCAGUUGGGCCGCGGCAACCGAAUUCAAAUCGCGCCGACCGCGGCGUUUCCCUCAAACGCGACGCGAAACGCCGAUUCGCCGCGUCUGUCCGCGAUCGUCGCCGGUCCGUUCCGCAUCGCGGGCCGGUACAUCCGAAUGGGUCUCAUCGCGUACGGCCCGCGCGUAUUACCGGCGGAACCGUCCGGGGACUUUGUCGCGCGCCCGGACCGUUUCCGAAAGGCGGCUAGCAGUUGAACGACGGCGGAAAAAAAAAAAAUGCUUUUUACCGAAACGUAGACGAAAGUUGACACCGCGAUGUUUUUGCGCGCUCGCACGGCCGGCGGCGCGUCGAGGUUUCGGUGUUUGCGGGCGAAACGAAAAACAACAAUAAUAAUAAAUAAAAACAACGUUAUCCGGCCGUUAUAGACGGUAUUUCUCACGUGCUUUUUACCCGGCGCACUUGUACGUCAUUUCAUAACCGCCGUAACAAUAACAACAAUAACAAUAAUAAUAAUAAUAAACGUCUUGCCGCGGAAUAUCUGCUUACGUUUUUUUUUUUCUU